rnacentral:rRNA from 1 species
UACGGAGGGUGCGAGCGUUGUCCGGAAUCACUGGGCGUAAAGGGCGCGUAGGUGGCGCGGGCAGUCAACGGUGAAAGUUCGGGGCUCAACCCUGAAUCGGCCGUCGAUACUCCCGAGCUCGAGCACUGUAGAGGCAGAUGGAAUUCCGGGUGUAGCGGUGGAAUGCGUAGAGAUCCGGAAGAACACCGGUGGCGAAGGCGGGACUCUGGGCCGAUACUGACGCUGAGGAGCGAAAGCGUGGGGAGCAAACAGG